GCUGAUGUAGCUCAGUAGGUAGAGCACAUCCUUGGUAAGGAUGAGGUCCCGGGUUCGAAUCCCGACAUCAGCUCCA
rnacentral:tRNA from 1 species